UCAUUUUCAAUUCUCUUUUCAGCAAUAGAGGUCAGUUUGGGCAGGCCGGUGAAGGUAAAUAACUUCCUUACCACUCUCAACAUAACGCUUAUUGCAAAUAGAAAUCUUAAGAAGUGCUGGGGAGGCCAUCAAGAAAAUCUCAACUACGUCGUCUUACAGGGCUGGCAUUGAUGCUUAUGCGAAAGAAAUGAAUUCGAGGUACAGUAAUGCCUGAUAUUACUCAGAUUGCUGCUGUGCAUUUGAAGACGGGUUUUAAGUUCUCGACAUAUGUGAAGACAACAGUGCCAAUUUCUUAUGAAGCUCAGAAAGUGAUUGGCAUCUCUGUUGAUGAUCAUGGCUUAAUGCGUGUAAAUGGUGGAAGUGUUGAUAGUGUAUCAAUUUAAACUUCUCUUACUACAUGAUUGUAUGAUGUGGCUUGCAAAGUUCCCCAUAGCCAUUUUUGUUGCUCAUAAUGGGCGCAGGUUUGAUUUUCCGGUUUUGGUUAGUGUAUUGCUGAACACACACUGUUUUGAAACGUUUUGUAAUUGUGUAAGCAGUUUUGUUGACUCUGCCGGUUUUCAAAAAUCGUUUCCUGGACAGUCACACAAACAGGAAUAUCUAGUGAAGGUGUUCUUCAGGCAACCUGCAACGCCCACAGUGCUCCUGAUGAUGUUGAAGCACUGGGGUCUUUGCUUAAAAAAUUACUGACAAUAUGGCCCACAUCUUUACUGUUACUGCAAUCCAUAAUUCAGUUUAUGUAGUCAUGAAAAGCCUUAAAGGCAAAGAACAUUAGAUUGUUAGACGUGCUGUUGCAUAGAGGAACUCUAAAGCGACCAACAGCUAAAAACAUUGCGGGAUAUGGACUGGCCUUGUGUCAUUUGAAAGCCAUAUUUUCUAGUUCCGGAGAGGACGACUUUAGGGAUACUUUCAUUGCUAAAAACAAUGAGGGACUUCCAAAAGUCACAAACGCAAAAAAAAUAUUUUAUCUGAAGUGGUCCCUAAAAUCGGUCAGUUUUUCAGUGACGAAAAGUGACGGAACGAGAUAAUAUGGCUUUCAAAUGACACGCGGCCAGUCAAAAUCACGCAAUGGCUUUAUACUGAUACUAUAUUAUGUACAUCAAGUUGUCAUUAAUCUGGCAGUUUUUAUUAAAAUAUAAGUUGUAUAUUAUUGUGCUACAUGUUUAAAGAAACCUGAUAACUUAUACAUCUUUAUGCUACGUAAUAUUUUGACAACUUUGACAUUUUGUGGUGAACUGCGCCUGUAUUCAUAUGUUGUCUUUUGACUUUAGGUGACCUAUAGAUUGUAUUUUUAGCUCGGCAGUUUUAGGAGAAAUCUCCGAGGUCAUGUCAUAGCCACUUCGUCGUCCGACGUCGUGCAAAAACUUUUUCAUUGGCUCUAAAAUUAAAGUGCUUCCACAUACAAUUUUGAAACUUUAUAUGUACAUGCACCUUGGUGAGUUCUACACGCCACACCCAUUUUUGGGUCACUAGGUCAAAGGUCAAGGUCACUGUGACCUCUAAUAUAAAACUUUAACUUUGCCUCUAACAUCAUAGUCCUGCCACCUACACCUUUGAAACUUCAUAUGUACAUGCACCUUGAUGAGUUCUACAUGCCACACCCAUUUUUGGGUCACUAGAUCAAAGGUCAAGGUCACUGUGACCUCUAAUAUAAAACUUUAAGUUUGCCUCUAACAUCACAGUGCUUCCACCUACAACUUUGAAACUUCAUAUGUACAUGCACCUUGAUGAGUUUACACGCCACUCCCAUUUUUUGGGUCACUAGGUCAAAGGUCAAGGUCACUGUGACCUCUAAUAUAAAACUUUAAGUUUGCCUCGAACAUCAUAGUGCUUCCACCUACAACUUUGAAACUUCAUAUGUACAUGCACUUGGAUGAGUUCUACACACCACACCCAUUUUUUGGUCACUAGGUCAAAAGUCAAGGUCACUGUGAUCUCUAAUAUAAAACUUUAACUUUGCCUCUAACAUCACAGUACUUCCAUAUACAACUUAGAAACUUCAUAUGUAGAUGCACCUUGAUGAGUUCUACACGCCACACCCAUUUUGGGUCACUAGG